GGGGCGGUUCGGAUUAUUGGGCGUAAGAGCUCGUAGGCGGUUUGUCGCGUCUGCCGUGAAAGUCCGGGGCUCAACUCCGGAUCUGCGGUGGGUACGGGCAGACUAGAGUGAUGUAGGGGAGACUGGAAUUCCUGGUGUAGCGGUGAAAUGCGCAGAUAUCAGGAGGAACACCGAUGGCGAAGGCAGGUCUCUGGGCAUUAACUGACGCUGAGGAGCGAAAGCAUGGGGAGCGAACAGGAUUAGAUACCCUGGUAGUCCAUGCCGUAAACGUUGGGCACUAGGUGUGGGGGACAUUCCACGUUUUCCGCGCCGUAGCUAACGCAUUAAGUGCCCCGCCUGGGGAGUACGGCCGCAAGGCUAAAACUCAAAGGAAUUGACGGGGGCCCGCACAAGCGGCGGAGCAUGCGGAUUAAUUCGAUGCAACGCGAAGAACCUUACCAAGGCUUGACAUGAACCGGUAAGACCUGGAAACAGGUCCCCCACUUGUGGCCGGUUUACAGGUGGUGCAUGGUUGUCGUCAGCUCGUGUCGUGAGAUGUUGGGUUAAGUCCCGCAACGAGCGCAACCCUCGUUCCAUGUUGCCAGCGCGUUAUGGCGGGGACUCAUGGGAGACUGCCGGGGUCAACUCGGAGGAAGGUGGGGACGACGUCAAAUCAUCAUGCCCCUUAUGUCUUGGGCUUCACGCAUGCUACAAUGGCCGGUACAAAGGGUUGCGAUACUGUGAGGUGGAGCUAAUCCCAAAAAGCCGGUCUCAGUUCGGAUUGGGGUCUGCAACUCGACCCCAUGAAGUCGGAGUCGCUAGUAAUCGCAGAUCAGCAACGCUGCGGUGAAUACGUUCCCGGGCCUUGUACACACCGCCCGUCAAGUCACGAAAGUUGGUAACACCCGAAGCCGGUGGCCUAACCCCUUGUGGGAGGGAGCUGUCGAAGGUGGGACUGGCGAUUGGGACUAAGUCGUAACAAGGUAAA
rnacentral:rRNA from 1 species